rnacentral:lncRNA from 1 species
UGUGUGCUUAGUUGCAGUAGUUUUUGUCUGUUUCGUCUGCCGUUAUUUCAGUUGUGAUAUAUGUUAGUACUGCUUGCUUACCUCUCAUGAUAGCUUUUUCCAUGCUAGUUAUAUUGUUGUUGAUAAUAUCAUGCUUCUGUCUAGUUUAGUUCAUGCCAGUAGUCUUGAUGUUAUGAUGAUUUUGUUGCACCUUCAAUAAGCUAGUAUCUAGUAUUGUUAUGUUUCAUAUGCUAUAACUGUUCACUUGAGUAGCUUGAUAUUUGUUAAUGCAUUUGUUAGUUGCAUGUUCAUUGUUGCAUUCUUGUUGAAUAUGCUCAUAAUAUUGAUGAUGUUGGAGAAGUUAAUAAUAUGACUUAAUAACAAACCUCCUCCGCCAUCACUGGGAUAUCAUAGUGCCACCAAAUCGAGCUUUCUCCAGUGCAACCACAUUUACCUUGUGGGAAGGUCCUAGCUGGGUCUAGUGUCAUGCCUCUCGCCGGUGCCUCCCGCGAGGGAAGGUUAUGGGCGCGCUUACCCUGAUCAGGUAGGCGGACAUAAGCCUUGUGUGCCCGGGUUUGGUUUUGAGCUCAUGUCCUCGUUUGGGACCGUUUUUCCACGACGGUGGCCGUCGGUACCUUUGGUAGGUAUGGGGCCACCCAGGACCGAACCCUUAAGGGGUGUUGGUCGGAGUGGCCGGGAGGGCGUCAUGGCAGUAGAUCGGUUUUGUCGGAAUGCUUUGGUCCGCGUGUAUGGGAGUGCGAGACUAGGGUUCCGUGUGUGGGUAAAGUGCGCUACCUCUGCAGAGUGUAUUCAAUCUAUCGAUAGCCGCGUCCUCGGUCAUGGGUACAGGUUCGUAGUAGGUCACACUAUCGGGUCUCGGUCGAAAUGGAGGAUAAAUCAACUAAUAAAUUAUGUGAUAACUAAUGUGAUGGCUUGGACUAUGAAAUAAUCGUGAGAAGUCACGAUGAUGUGUUGAUAUGACCCCGAGACGAGGUCUCGGUAAGUCAUGAUUGUGCUCCGAGGAGCCGUGGCAGAGUAAGUGAUUGUGGCAUAAGGUUAUUACAACAUGUCUUCAUGGGAGGUAACUGGUAGUUUAUUUUCAGCAUAGUUUCAUGAUGCCAUGCCCUGUUUUGAUAUGCUAUGCUUUGCUGUUGUUAUGAUAGAAGUAAGUUUGAUAUGCCAUCAUAGUUGAUGCUAUGAUGUUGUUCAUGCCUAGUUUGAAUUAUGAUUCUAGUUAAUAUCAUGCCAUGCUUAGAAGUUGUGUUGAUGUAGACUGUUGCAUAUGCUUGGUUCUUGCUUUGUCUUCUGUUUGUUUGGAUGCUAUGUAUUUGGUUGUCUUGCAAGUACAUUCAAUGUACUGACCUGGCGUGUCAUGCCAGUUUUGUAGGUCGUUCGCUUGUUCCGUCGUGCUAGGUCGUAAUCAUGCCAGUCCUGUGCGUUAUGGAGCCCAGCCUUAAUAAGACGCUGCCAAACCAAGACUUCCGCCGCCAUUUAUAUGGACUUCCGCUGCCAUGUAAAUAGCCUUAGGGCUAUGCCAGAAAAUUGUAUUCAUCAAUGAUGUAAUCUUAUACACAUGUAUUUGAUGAAUAUUAUUGUACCUGGAAUGCUGUAUCAUGGACCUGUCGUGCGUCAGGCGUAAUCCCGGGCUGACGUGCGAAGGCCCCCUGCUCCAUGCGGAUCAGGGUGCCACAGGAGAUGGUAUCAGAGCAGCCAGGCUGGCAUAGGUUAUCCUAGCAUUAGAUCACCGCUACCAUCAACCCAUAAUGACCCUAAGGGAUUUGACCCAUCCCUGGCAUCCGUCAUGGCCACUGUUAAUCUACAGGUGGCGCAGUCGGGACCAACACGUCCUUACCCCGCUGUCCCCGCCUAGUUAUACGUGGAUUGAAUAGCAACCCUAUCCUUUCUGGUCGGCCGCACCGCGUACCCUUCACCAUUAAGGAAAAGGGGCCACACCAUGCGGGCAUGUCCCGCAUAGCCGCCUAUAAAAUCCCCCUUUCUGCUAGCCGUAUCGCUCACCCCUCAGUCAGCCAUGUCCCUGCAGAAAAGCUUAGCUAGUAGCUCCCCAGCCAUGACUAGCACCUUCAAAGCUCCCAAGUUUUACACCUGCACCUUUGCCGUCAACCACCCUGGCUUCCCACCCCUUCUUACCGAGAUGCUCACCAAAGCCUUUGGCUAUAAGGCUAGCCCCGAUUACCUGGUGUUCCAAUCGACGGCCGUCCCUCACCUUCACCGCUAUGAUGCAAGAGUGCGCAUCAGCCUAGGUCCCGCAGUAGAUGGCUAGCCUUUGGUUUUUCAGGGUAGAGCCACGCCUACCUCUGAUUUAGCCAUUCAGGCCGCUGCUGUGGAAGCUAUCCUAUACCUCUAAACCAAGAUCCCGCAAGUGGCAGAGAGGCGGGAGUUCUGCUUUUUCCCCGUGGUGACAGAAGCAGGAAUUCAGUCUUCUCCCACUAUCCAAGGAGAUGACCCCGCAAUCGCUCGCCUGGUGCAAUAUAUCACUGCCCAGGGGAUGAUGAUUUCUAAGAUGCUCGCCGAAUUUAGAACCCUGGACGACGAUGCGGUACGAGUUGUUAAGGAAGCUUACCAUGAGGCUCGUAAAUUCGCAUCUCAAGCCGUUCACCCCAUGCCAUCCGAACCAGUGCUACCCUCUUAGCCUGUGUUGUGGCCUAGACCCAACAUCAUCACCCUCGACAAGUCUCUUUUCUGGAUCCAUCAGCAGCAUCUGCUUGGAUCAAUUUUAGCCACACCUCCAGCAGUCGAACCCCAACCCAUAGUAGUGUCGGACGUUGAAGAUGGAGAUUGGCUCAGUCUUUGUCCUCCCGGAGAGCCCCAGCAAGGCCAGUCCUCUGCAUGACCUCAGUCACGCAGUGAGAUGACUCUGCGAGUAGGUCAGUCAGUCGGUUCAUCUCCGAUAUGAGGAUAGAACUAUGUAUCCUGGAGUGAGUAGUUUCGUUUAGCGCGUAGAGCGUUCGUGCUUUGUUGUACUGUUUGUAACCCGUAAUGUGUUUGUGUAUGCUUGCUUGCUUUUGAAUUUUUGUGCUUGUUUUUGUUUGUCUCUCCGUCAAACAGAGAUGUUUGACAGGGUUGGCAAUGUGUGCUAACGAGAUUUUAAUCAGUAGAUCACAUACACUAAAUAACAUUGGCUCGUCCCAAGUCUUUAAUAAAAUGCGCGCUGGUGUAGGUAUAUGUAUGCCAGGAGUACAUAUACCCACUAGCAUUAAAACACCUUAGUAUUAUUUGUCUGAUGUGUUUUUCAUUGCAUGUUUAUUGCACCUGUGUGUUGUUAGUUUAGACUGCAUUGCAUACUGCACACAUACCCGGUUCACCCACGAGUGCAUUUAGGGCAGUACUCGGGGAAAACGCAAAGUCACAUCCCUAUCUCUAUCUGUGCAUACCCCGUGUGCCAGAUUUUCCAAACACAGCGCCUCGAAGAGGCAUUUUCAUUUGGCCAUUUCUCGUCCCUAAUUCUUUUUCGUUAACCCAAUUGCAUUUUAGGAGAAACGUUGCCAGCUUUAUUUCACUCGAUCUAGUACAACCCCCCGAUACAUAUUUCAACUCCGCCUCUACCCUGACACCUACAUUUCGUGGAGCAAUCCGCGAAAUUUUCCCGUGUCCUAGUCUGAUUCCUGAGCUGGCACAUCCCCCUCACCCGCAUCCGAACCAAACCAUCACCACCGUCACCGCCUUGAGUGGCGCAGGUAGAUCGCCACCACCGUUCCACCGCAGCACGCGAUUACUCCGCCGGCGCAACACGAUGGAGGAUCAAGCGUGGCAGAGGACCACCCCGUGCACCAUCUUCUUCCACACCUCGAGCCACCGCAGCUGGCCGCGCGUUGCCUCGAGCUCGCUCAUACAUGAUGAUCAUCAGCAGGAUGAUCGACGAGCCAAUCAGAGUGCCCAGCAGUGCAGCUAGGAACCACCGCAACGCCACCAGGAACACAACCUCGCCGAAGGAGCUCGGCUCGAUUUCGUCCAAACCGAAUAGGUAGUAGAGCGGCAUUGUGUUUGUGCAUUGGAGGAGAGUCGCGCUGCCGUUUUUAUAGCCCAACUCCGGUGUACGAUGAGCGAGGUCCAGGAAAACCGCUCGUCGCUCGAUCACUGGCGUCCAGGAGGCGAAUCCGCGAGCAGUACCGACAUGGUGCUGGCCCGCGACAUGAGUGCUCGCUGCACCAGUGUCGUGCACGCCGCGCACUACGACACUAGGGUCCUCAUCGCCCUAGGAGCUAGAUGCGCGCUGCGCCAAGCCACACGCGGAGCAGCAUCAUAGGAGAAGCAACUAGCCGGAGGUAGAAGGAGCCUGCCAGUGGGCCCUGGACCCACGUGUCAGCAGGUGAAACCACUGUUCAUUGGGGUGCAUCCAGCAUUUUUCGGGAGUCUGAUCUCGAGUGCCCGUACCCGUGGAUAUAACCGUGUUUGCCCAUAUCUCUCCCUGGGUGUACCACUUAUCGGUGCCCCAACUCGUUCGAAUCCGACCAAAGGGUUAAAAUUAACCCCGAGGCUUUUCCCCGGAGUAGUUAUCUUUGCAAUUGUGCUGUAACCCUAGGAAUCUCGAGGACGAGAUUCUUUUUAAGGGCGGAAGGUUUGUAACAGCCCCAAAAUUGGGUUAUCAAUUUUUGAGUUGUUAUUCCUUCCUGGCACUCAUUUUCAAAAUUUUCUCCUGAGUUUGCUGGAUGACUCUGAGAAAUUUUUGCCAUUUCCAACCUUUCAAAACCUUGCUCAUGUCUUUUUCAGUGGGCAAGACCUCAUUUGCCUCAGCUCAAACCCUCUCAAACCCUAAUUCCAAAUUGUUGGAAUUUAAAGAUGGCCUUUGUGAUUACAAAGGAGCUAUCAUUUUCCUUGAUCUGUUGAUCAUCCCAUCUGUUCCCUGAGAACCUCCUAUCCUUGUAAACCUUGGAUAUGCAAAAAUAUUGCCAAGUCCCAUGCAAUAUUUUUGAAUUAUGAUUUAUUCCUUUUCUUGCCUUUCCGAGGGAUAAAAUUCAAAGGCAUAUCUAGCCAUCUCCAAGAUUCAUGAGAAUUGGUGGAGUUGAUAUUUAUGUCUAAUCCAAGCUAUGGCAAAGAUAUUGGCCAUAAUUAAAUAUGGAAAAAUGCCUUUUACUAUUUAAUACCAAUAUUGCAUUUCUGCCACUUCCUAAAGGAACUACUAUUUUUAUAGUAGGGAAAAUUCUCACAUAAAUUGUGGAGCUUGCCCUUGCUAUAUAAUCACAAGUUCCAUCCUUGUUCCAUGUUCCAUAGUUCAAAAUUUUGGCACAUGAUCCAAUGCAAGUUUCUGCCUUCUCUGAAAUUUUGCAAAGGAAGUGCUUUAUUCCUAAUUCCAAUUGAGCUGCAAUUUGGUAGGGUGAUUAACCUUCAUAAAUCACACAUGAAUACCAAAGAUGAGCUCAAUCCAUUCAUCUUAGCUCCCUAUGCCAUUUUCCAAAGUUUCUGACCAGAAUGUAACUUUGUGAAGGAAGUACCUUCAUAGAGUUUUCAAAUGGGAUGAAACUUUUUCAUCCUCUCAAGUAUUCCAAAUCAUUAGCCUCCACCUAAAUUCAGUUCAAUUCAUUGAACUAUGUGAACAUAGGAGCAAUUCUUGGUUUCUGUCCAAAUUUUCAGUUUGUGAAGCAAGUCUAUUUUAUCUUGCUCCAUUAUGGCUGAAAAUAUUCCUAAGCCUUCUCCUCUCCAUACAACCUAUCUCCAACCAAUUUUGGCUCAUUUCAUGUAGCCAGUAUUUUCCUGGAUUUUUCCAAAUUUCUGGUGAGAUCUGAUGCUUGUGAAACAAGUACCAAUUUGGCAAGUCCAUUUGGUAUGAUAUUUUUGCAGCAUCUACAUAUGACCAAAUAAGGAAGCUUUGCCAAGUUUUAGCCCAAUCCAUCACUCCUAGUGAGUGCUUCUUCAUCAUUUGCUUUCUGGGUCAGAUUUGGCAUUUGAACUGCAGCUAUGCUAAAUCCUUGCCCAAAUCCCUUCCAACUUUCCAGGACCGUAGUCCUUGCUAUACUAAACCUCCUAGACGACCAGUUUUGCCCUUAACCUUUCUGUGUUGAUCGCCAGGAUGUUGCCAAGUUUGCAACAGCAAACUUGUCGAGCCUGUUUCCCUCUGCUCACUACACCUUUGCUCGUUCCAUCACUUCAGUCUUAAUGAGCGUUGGAGGGACUACGCUGUAGACAUCAUUUGGCACCAAGUAGACGACCAGAUUAUGCGUUGUCGGUGGUGACCACGGGCAGUGCCAGCCAAAUCGGUGGUCUAGCCACUGCUGGCCACAGUAGUGCAUCUCCGGCUAGCUCUGGCUUGUCCAAGCUUGUCAACCAGCUCAGCCUCAUCGUCGCCGUGCGCCUUGGCCCGUUUCCCCCUUCGUUUGCUUCCUCGUUGAGCCAUCGCCGUCGCUGAGCACAGUGCACGCCCGUGCACCGUCGUCUUCCUCGUUCUUGUCCCCUUCUCCCUCUCAUCCGCGAGCGCCCCUCGUCUCCGUGAGCCCCUGCGCGUCGUCCGCAUCCCCCUCGUCGUGUCACCAUCGUUUCCCGUGGCCUUUGGCCGUGCAUGCAUGUCGCCGGCGCGCGGACACGUAGCCGUGCCGCGUGUCACCUCCUCCCCUCCCCUAGAGCACAUCCCCGCGGCUAUUUAAGCCCGUCCCGAGCUCCCUCGCAGUCCUCAAGCCUCCCCAAGCACUUCACUCGUCCCCGGAGUCGCUCUCCGAUCCCCACCAUCGCCAUGGCCGCAGUUUCAGGCUCUGCUCGAUCUCGGCAAUGCCGUGCCCCCCUCGCCGUUCCACCACCACCUAUGCGUUCCCCGAGGUCCGGCGCACCUCCCCGUAGCCUUGCCCACCUAGUUCCCCCACCGGAGCCCCCUGUUCGCUGGAGUCCGAAGACCACCUCUGCCGCGAGCCCUGCUGCUCCUUCUCCCGUGCUCCUCGCCGGCAACGGACACCACCACGGGAUGCGCCUCUUGCUCCUGAGCUCGUGGAUAGGUCGGCCGUCGUCUGAGGCGGCCGGAGCCGCCGGCAAUCGCAGUGGAGGCGGGCGUCUCCCUCGGCCAGGCGCGCGUACGCGCAGGAGGAAGAAGCCAGGCCAGGCGGGCCCCACCUUACGGGACCCACCUGUCGGUGAGAGGAAGGCGUGGCCCCGCUAAUCACGUCGAAUAAGUGGACGCGCCCGCCCGCGGAAGCCAUUUCCCUACUCUGGAAACGUAUUCCUCGUGAAUACGCUUUCCAAGUCAGAAAACGUAUUCCCUGGGCACUUCGGCUCAAAAUGCGUUUCCCUGUGCGGAAAACGUAUUCGGCCCAAAGGCACGUUCAGUUUUUCCUCCAGGGGCCUGUUUGCUGAAAAAAUUUCACCGAUAGGUCCUUGAGCUUCAACCCUCCGUAUCUUUUUACCCGUAGCUCCAAAUCAGGUGAUUUCAAAGCCCACGUCUUCGUUUCGUCGAGCCCGUUCUGAUGGAAUCAUUUUCACCAUGUUUGCACAUUCUAAAAGUGACCAUUUUUCCCUUUCCCGUAAACAGCCCCCUCCGAGAGAGAACUGUUUCCGACAAAUCUUUCCGCGAUCGUUCGCACUUUUUUCGGAGUAAUCCUCGACCCCAGGCAAGCCAACCUCUUAUCAUGAGCCCCAAACUCGCAUGUUGAAUUUGCUGGUACCUCGCGUGUGUGCUUAGUUGCAGUAGUUUUUGUCUGUUUCGUCUGCCGUUAUUUCAGUUGUGAUAUAUGUUAGUACUGCUUGCUUACCUCUCAUGAUAGCUUUUGCCAUGCUAGUUAUAUUGUUGUUGAUAAUAUCAUGCCUCUGUCUAGUUUAGUUCAUGCCAGUAGUCUUGAUGUUAUGAUGAUUUUGUUGCACCUUCAAUAAGCUAGUAUCUAGUAUUGUUAUGUUUCAUAUGCUAUAACUGUUCACUGGAGUAGCUUGAUAUUUGUUAAUGCAUUUGUUAGUUGCAUGUUCAUUGUUGCAUUCUUGUUUAAUAUGCUCAUAAUGUUGAUGAUGGUGGAGAAGUUAAUAAUAUGACUUAAUAACAAACCUCCUCCGCCAUCACUGGGAUAUCAUAGUGCCACCAAAUCGAGCUUUCUCC